rnacentral:lncRNA from 1 species
UUUUUUGAUGGUGUGGGUGAGCUCCCGCCAGUAUCUUUAGCAGUGACUUCUACAGAUUGAAGCUGAGCAUGGUGCUGCUGCCAGUCAAGUUCUAACAGAAGGCUGCAUCCACUGCAUCAUGGGGUGAUGCAGAGGUGUGCAGAGAUUAGGGGCACUACUCCCACACUCCAGGAAACAGUAGGAAUCAAAAGAAAUCCUGCUAGAAAUCCUGUUAAGUGAGCCCACAUCCGGGCCUUACAAAUUACGCAAAAGUUGUAAGCUUUAGAAUGGGAUGCUUCAUUAUCUCCAGUUAUCCAUCAUACACAAGAGAAGGUGGAUAAAUCACUAUAUAUAUGCAUGUACUUGUCAAAGGAAGAGAUAUAUGGCAAAUGUGUUCCACAAUCAGUUGUCUUCACCUGAAUCUGAAACACUGGGAAGAGUGGACCCUGCUGUGCAGUGGAAGAACAUUUGUUCCAGAUGCUGCACCCAUAAACAAGGACUUUUGUAUAUUUGGGGUACAUUGCUAAAACACAUUCAGUUUUGCUACCAGAUUUGUGGCAAAUCAGUAGAGAGGAAGAAACAAAGGCAUAGAAAGUAGCACAAAUGUAGAAUAUAAAUAAAAGGAAUUGAAGGACAAAGCCUUAAACUAAU